rnacentral:misc_RNA from 1 species
GUUGCUAUCUAACACCUUGCACGAGCCCUUGCUUUUUCACCAGCUCAAUGAGGUAGAAUUUAGAACUUGGAAACAAGCACUUCUAACAGUGGACGUCAAUGGAUAUCGCUUCACUUGCAUUUCUCACUACCACUACCAAAUUUCUCAUUUUCCUCUUCAAAAUCUCCACCGCCCUUGACACCAUUGCUCCCUCCCAAUCUUUGAGCGAUGGCAAGACCUUGGUUUCCAGAGAUGGAACAUUCGAACUGGGUUUCUUCAGUCCCUACGACUCCCAGAAACGUUACUUGGGAAUUUGGUACGGAAAUAUGCCCGGUAGAACUGUUGUUUGGGUUGCAAAUAGAAGUAAUCCAAUUAAUGGUUCUUCUGGUUUGUUGACUAUAAACGGCACAGGCAAUCCCGUGCUUCUUAGUGAGAACAUGACAGUUGUUUGGUCAGUAUCUAACUUAACAAAAGAAGCACAAGAGCCAAUUUUGCAGCUUUUAGAUUCAGGAAAUUUUGUUUUAAGAAACAAAAAUGAUGGAGAUUCAGGAAUCUACUUGUGGCAAAGCUUUGACUAUCCGUGUGAUACACUGCUACCUGGAAUGAAGCUGGGAUGGGACUCAAGGACUGGGCUUAGUAGGCAUCUAUCAUCGUGGAAGAGCUCAAAUGAUCCAUCUAUUGGAGACUUUAUGUGGGAGGUACAACUGCAUAGUAAUCCUGAGCUAGUUAUGUGGAAGGGCACUCAGAAAUACUACAGGAGCGGCCCAUGGAAUGGGAUUGGGUUCAGUGGUGGCAUCGCACUGAAGCCUAACCCUAUUUUUGGGUACAACUUUGUGUCAACUGAGGAGGAGGUAUAUUACAUCUACAACCUCAAAAAUAAAUCUCUAUUUACAAGGAUAGUUAUGAAUCAAACCACAUAUAAUCGUCAGCGGUACACUUGGAAUGAUGUCAAUCAAAGCUGGAUUCUCUAUGACAGUGUGCCAAGGGAUCGAUGUGACAGCUAUGGCCUUUGUGGUGCCUAUGGAAAUUGCAUAGCUAGUGAAUUGCCAAUUUGCCAAUGUUUAAAAGGCUUCAAGCCGAGAUCAUUAGAGAGGUGGAACUUAAUGGAUUGGUCUCAAGGGUGCAUGCGCAAUAAACCAUUAGAUUGUGAGACAGGAGAUGGAUUUGUUAAAUUCUCUGGGUUAAAGCUGCCAGAUACAACGUAUUCUUGGGUCAACAAAACAAUGAAUCUCAGGGAAUGCAGGACUAAAUGCUUACAAAAUUGUUCUUGUAUGGCAUAUUCAAAUUUGGAUAUUAGAGAACGUGGCAGUGGAUGCGCCAUUUGGUUUGGUGACCUGAUGGAUAUGAGACAGUUACCAGAUGAUGGAGGGCAAGAUCUAUAUAUUCGAAUGAAUGCUUCAGAAACAGAGGGAAAAGCGAAACGUAAGAUGAAGAUAACAAUAAUAACUUUUGCGUCCAUUGCAAUGGUCUCCGGGAUACUUAUGAUCAGCUUGGCCAUAUACAAAAGGAAGAACAAGUCCACUGGUAAAUUUUCUUUCUGGUUACUUUCAUUAAAUAAAAUGAUCAUCUUGUUUUCUCUAAAUUUCUGGAAAGGUGGGAGUGCUUAGAAAGAAACAGCUUUGGCAAUUGUCUGUAUGCAUUCAAAUAAAGUUCAUUGCAGAAGGGAAUGCCUUGUUAAAGAAACUCAUGAAAUGAACAGUUUCAAUGUGAAUUUCAAAAAAGAUUGCUGAAAUAAUAUGGGUCUCUGUUAUUGGUUGAUUGAGCCUAUAAACAGCAGCUCUGUAUUGCAUUUGCAUCCAUUUGAACGUGACAAUUUUGUUUCCAUUAGAAAACCGCAAAGUUCAAUUUCAUAAUCAGUUAAUCACUGACUCAACUCAUGUUUGCAUUUUGAAUAUGAUGAUUUUGGCUCAUUCAGUUUCAUGUUUUAUGUUUUAUAUUCUCAUUCAAGUUUGGAUCGUUCAAUUUCACAUUUUAUAAUUAAUAUUCCUCCCCCUGCUCCGGCCCCCAACUCUCCUUUUCCCUUUUUUCUCUUUCCUUUCUCUCUCUUUCUGAGCAAAGAGAACAAUGAUUACCAAAAUGAAGACUUCGAGCUACCAUUGUUUGAGUUAUCUACAAUAGUUAAUUCCACCAAUAACUUUUCAAUCAACAACAAGAUAGGAGAAGGUGGUUUUGGACCUGUGUACCGGGGCACGCUAAUAGAUGGACAAGAAAUUGCCGUGAAGAGGCUAUCAAGGAGUUCUGGACAAGGGUUAAAUGAGUUCAAAAAUGAAGUCAAAUUUAUUGCAAAGCUGCAACACCGAAAUCUUGUAAAGCUUCUUGGUUGUUGCAUUCAUGGAGAUGAGAAAAUGUUAAUAUAUGAAUACAUGCCCAACAAAAGCCUGGACUUCUUUACUUUU